rnacentral:lncRNA from 12 species
UUAUAAAUAAGAAAUUAACCCUUUUAAAUAUUUGUCAUGUAGAGACAAACUCAGUCAUAUCAGAAAAUAAGAAGACUAGGAAAUGAGGGUGGUGCUCUCUCACAACAUAGUGCCAGUGCAAGAGGCUGCUCAAAGUCACUUUACUUUGCCAUUGCCUCUUCUCUGCAGACCAUCCACCAUGUUUCUCCUUUGUUGGAUAUCAUUUUUAUUAUCGAUAGGAAAUUCCUUUGCAAAUACAAUUCAACCAUUAUACUCUGAAAAGCAUGUUGUCAGAGGUGAAAAUGUGAUUCUUUCUUGUAACUACACUGGCGAUGUAAACAAUCUGCAGUGGUAUCAUCAAUAUCCUGGAUCUCAACCAGAGCACCUCAUUCUUGUCACAGAAUAUUCAGAACCUGAUCUUUCACUUCGUCUGUCAGCAAAAGCUUCAAAAGAUCUAAAACAAGUGAAUCUAACAAUCUCCUCUGCUGAAGAAACAGAUUCUGCUCUGUACUACUGCGCCCUGGAGCCCACAGUGACAGGAAACACAAGAACGCCAUACAAAAACCUUUUAUAUACUGUGUAACGGUGGUGGGCCCCAGAAACCAAUUUGCAGUCAAGAUUUCAAUAAAUAGUUUUUCGGGCGCCAGACAGGUAGAAGCCUGCCACAAAAAAAAAACCCAGGAUAGCUUGAAAUAACCACCUGUUACAUUCAAUAAACUCAAAUCAUUCACAGUCUUUUGUCUCUUUUUUUCCUUCCAAUCAAAACUUGUAAUUAACAACAAUAGAUUUACUCAAAACACUGCCAAGAAAGUCUAGUUUGAUCAACACCAAACAAUAAAAAUAAAAAAAAAUACAGCCACAAAGCAAAAAAGAAAAACAAAGAUUUAUAGACAAUAGAAUACUUCCAGACUCCACUUAUUUUCUCUUUGUUCUGAGUAUCUAUUUUUAACCCAUAAGAUAUGUCAGAUGUGUCACAGUUCGUUGUAACAGGGCUUUCAGCAGUAUAUUCACAUGUCCCUUUUAAAUCCCAGUUUGCUCAUGUAGGUAACACCCACUGAAUAAGUAGUUCGUAGGAGUAAGAGGUACAAACAAAUCAACAAAACCGUAUAUAUCAAUCAGGCUCGAUCAACGAGGUAAACUAAAUAAAAUGAACCCAUCGGUGGUGCAUUUGCAUAGCACGUGCGUGUGUAUGUGCGUGUGGGACUGAGUGCGCGUGUGGGACUGAUUGUUUGUGUGAGAGAAUGGCUUUGCGUCACUGACCCAAGUGUAGCAUCUCACAAGGAUUAUGAAGAGUGUCUAGAGACCGCCGGGGACUCAACGAUGAUCCUUUUUACGUCCGGCUUUCCUAUUUGGAUUACUGAAUAAAGCUCAUACGUGAAGGUACUUCCCGCCCGUUCACGAACUUCAGGGUAACCAGCAUGUCUGGAAGCGUCAGGUCGACAGGAACACGAGCCGCCCUCCACACGGUAACUCCAACUCAGCUUCUCUCCCACAACUCUCACGAGAACUGUUCACUGGUGACGUCCCUUCUCUCCCGGUGUGUGAGCCUCACCCCUAUAUUUACUUCUCCCAUUAAUUGAUAUGCACGCCUCCCGUUACGUCAUUGAGUUGUGAAAUCAAAGUGAAAGUAAACACGUGGCAUACAGAGUUUUCCGUUCUGCCACAACUGUAUAUAUAAUAAUUCUGAAUUUACAUGUAUUUGAGUCUCAACAAUGAAAGCCUGAUGUUACAUUACAUAAAAUAUUAAAUAAAAUUUUACAAGUGUAAACAUUUGUCCAAUGUCUUUCAAUCAAUCAAUCAGCGGCAACAAAGUAAACUAAGCACACUAUUAUCUUCACAUUAAAGAAACAGUGACAUACAAGUAGGCCUAUCUUAACAUCAGUAUUACAUACAAGGGGGUUCAAAAGUCUGGAGACAACAUAAAAAUGCAUCC